rnacentral:precursor_RNA from 14 species
AUCAAAGUCCAUUCGUAGCUGCUAUCUCCCCGGCUCGGAUGAGGACAAUGUUGUGACGUCACUACCAAUAUUGCACUCGUCCCGGCCUUAGAGUGGCAGCACCUUUAUCGACCAAUGCCA